AUACCCUUCACUCGACCCUAAAGCUGCGGGUACUUUUUUCGGGACAGAUACAAACCAAAAAACGGGUCCAAUACGGGUAUCGGUAGUAGUUUCCAGGCCUACCUAUUAGUAGUUUAAUAUGAAUCAAAAUUCACCAUAUAGUAUUAUAUUAUAUAACAUGUAAAUGAAUGAUACAACAUAAACAUAAUAUUAACAAAUAAUAAAAUAAAAAAAAUUCUCCACACUACCAGCGCGGGUUAUUAUUGGGACUUUCUUAAAAAUGCCCCUUUUAGUGAGCUUCUUUUUAAAACUACCCUCUUAAGGAUACCGUUUUUAAAACUACCCCUUUUUUAAUAUAAAAUGACCAGUUUAUCCUUAAUGAUUCAAAACCUAAUUUUUCGUCUCUCUCCUUCUAUUCGGCGUCUUCAUAAUCUUCAAACUCCUUCUUCUUCAAUCUCUUUCUUCUUCGAUCUCUCCUCCUCUUUGCGCAAUCUCUGCUUCUCUUUGAUCCUCCUCUUUGUAUGUCACCCAGAAUCGUCCAUAGAAGCCGAUGAAUCGUUGUCUUCGCUGGAAUCCGAUUAGGUCACUUCAUUACCAGUUCAGAUCCCGAUUUUUUCCCUAUAUUCGACUGAUAUUCCGAAGAAGAUGAAGGAUAAGUUCAUCACACAUUAAAAGCUCCGUGAAGACAUGUGAUAAUGAGAUUACUGAAACUUCAGUUGUGCUUCAUUCUUGUAAAGUAAGAAGUUACAAGGUUAUAGAUUGAAGAGGACUAUGGUGACUGGUGAAGCAAGGAGCAAUGGUUGGAUCUAAUAAAGUUCCUCUGUAGACGUCACAUGCCGGAUUUGUGCAUCGUGUGAGAGAGAAGAUAUGUAAGAGUGACUUUUCUUGUUGUGGGUGAUUUUGCAGAUAACCAAAUUGUCAAUUUUGAACAAAGUUUUGACCACUAUUAGUAUUAGGGAUAUCAUGUACACCCACACAACAACUUUUUCUACGUUUGACCUUGGCUUUGUUUCUCAUCUAUUUUUGAUAUGUAAAUUACACAUCUAGCUUCUGAAUUAAUACUUUUGGUCUUAAUAAUUAAGUUUUGGGAUUCA